rnacentral:lncRNA from 10 species
AGACUCCCUUGCAGGCUGGUCCACACCUCCAGUGCCACUGGACUAUUCAGAUGGACGGUGCUGGAGCAGGCAGAGCUUUCAGAGGCUCAGGAAAGUGGUGAAGACAAAAAGUGGAGCAGGAAUCGAACUCACGCCCAACUCCAAAGCAUCACAAGGCUCUGUCUCCAAGGAACCAGGCAAGGAAGGGCUGGGAGAUUGGUAUUGGGCAAAAAUAGAACCACAUAAGUCAAUGAUACAGGGUACUCAAGAGGGGUGCGAGAAGAAGGGAGAUAACUCAGAAGACUGAAGAGUGAAGAGUGAGAAACCGAGGGAGGAAAAGGAGAAAUGAGGCCCUAUGGUACUAGGGGUGUCUCUG